CUCAUCAGGAGGGAAUGCUGGCAAGAAUCAGCUAACACAGUAGCAGCAAGCUUUCAGUGACAGCGUUAAGGAAGGGUGACGAUUCAGGCUGGGAGCAGGUGUAUGGGAACUGUAUAAUCACAGCCUGACCCCCUGUUUGACUACCUGAGGCGAGUGCUGAGUCAGCUGCAGGGGCACAGGUGAUGGCAGUUUGACCUGAGUGACCGUAAGGGGUGGACCCUGGCUGCAGCCCUGCUAGACCCCAUGUAAGGGCUGACUCCCAAGGAGGAAGGAUCUCUACCUGGAGGUCACCCUUAGUGGAGCCCUUCUGCGCGCCCAGGGAACAGCACAAGGCAACAGAGACGUUGACAGCAGCGAUGGAGAUGGAGAUGUUCAGAGUGGAGGAGCUGUUGGCUCGCUGCAGCCACCCCAGCAUCCCCGGAGCUCCCUGCUGGCCCCGGAGGAGUCCGAGUGCUCUGUGCUGG
rnacentral:lncRNA from 1 species